CAUUCGUGAUGAUUUUGAUCCGUGUUGAUUGAUUUUUUAUUAUCAUAACCAGUUUUCUGUUUUAUACGAUAUUAAAAUGCUAAGUAAUAAAAGAGAACGCUGUAUUAUAUAAUAUUGGGAGAAAGAAGAAAAGCAACUUUUUAAAAAUAUACUACGACCCUAUAUAUCCACAAUUGAGAUAAAAAGAUUUAAGCACGAACGUUAAUAAUGAGAAAAUCAAGGCUUGGAGCGAUAUAACAGAGAAAUUUAAUCUAGCAAAUUUUAGGACUAGAGACAAAGAACAAUUGAGGAACCAAUGGAAGUGUAUUAAAUUGAAUACAAAAAAAGAGUUGUCAUCUUAUCAUCGUGAAGCAUCAAAAACUGGAGGUGGACCAAAGCCACCAUCACCUUCUCCAGACACAAUAGAUGUGGCAGAGGUGAUACCGCAAGACUUCGAAGUCGAUUUAAAUGAAUUUGAUUGUGAUGGUGAGGACAAUACAAAUAUUAUUUUGGAAGUAAAUGAUACCCCAAAAGGAAAUAAAGGCAACAAUGAUAAGGAUUAUAUAACAAAACCUAAAGAAAAUCAUGUUGAACCGAACAACAAGAAUCCCCUAACAACUCUAAAGAAACCUACAAGGAAAACACCGAAAGCAAGUAGUAGUUUCAGUUCUGGAGAAGCCUCAUAUGCAGAUGUGCAUUGCUUUCAUGGUUCUGGAAAAUGAGCGCCUUCAAAUAGAACAUAAACAUAGACUUAAGAAUAUGGCUGAGAUGCACAGCCAAGUAAUGGUAAAUUUAAAAUUACAGACAGAAAUUCUCAAAAAGACAUUAGAGACAAUAUAUCA